rnacentral:rRNA from 1 species
GAUGAACGCUGGCGGCGUGCCUAAUACAUGCAAGUCGAGCGAACAGACGAGGAGCUUGCUCCUUUGACGUUAGCGGCGGACGGGUGAGUAACACGUAGAUAACCUACCUAUAAGACUGGGAUAACUUCGGGAAACCGGAGCUAAUACCGGAUAAUAUUUCGAACCGCAUGGUUCGAUAGUGAAAGAUGGCUUUGCUAUCACUUAUAGAUGGACCUGCGCCGUAUUAGCUAGUUGGUAAGGUAACGGCUUACCAAGGCAACGAUGCGUAGCCGACCUGAGAGGGAGAGCGGCCACACUGGAACUGAGACACGGUCCAGACUCCUACGGGAGGCAGCAGUAGGGAAUCUUCCGCAAUGGGCGAAAGCCUGACGGAGCCACGCCGCGUGAGUGAUGAAGGUCUUCGGAUCGUAAAACUCUGUUAUUAGGGAAGAACAAACGUGUAAGUAACUGUGAACUUCUUGACGGUACCUAAUCAGAAAGCCACGGCUAACUACGUG